rnacentral:rRNA from 1 species
GAUGAACGCUGGCGGUGUGCCUAAUACAUGCAAGUCGAGCGAACGGACGAUAAGCUUUCUUCUCUGAUGUUAGCGGCGGGCGGGCGAGUAACACGUGGAUAACCAUCUUAUUAGACUGGGAUAACUUCGUGAAACCGGAGCUAAUACCGGAUAAUAUUUUGAACCGCUGGGUUCAACAGUUAAUGACGCUCUUGCCGUUAGUAUUAGAUGGAUCCGCGCUGCAUUAUCUACGUGGUAAGGUAACGACUUAGCAAGGCAACGUUGCAUAGCCGACCUGAGAGGGUGAUCGGCCACACUGGAACUGAGACACGGUCCAUACUCCUACGGUAGGCAGCAGUAGGGAAUUUUGUGCAAGGGGCGAAAGCCUGACGCAGCCACGCCGCGUGGGUGAUGAAGGUCUUCGGUUUGUAAAGCUCUUUUAUUGGGGAAGAACAUCUGUGUAAUUAGCUGUCCACAUUCUGACGGUACCUAAUCAAAAAGCCACGGCUAACUACGUG